rnacentral:rRNA from 1 species
GACGAACGCUGGCGGCGUGCCUAAUACAUGCAAGUCGAGCGGGCCUCCGGAGGUGCUUGCACCUCCGGAAGGCCAGCGGCGGACGGGUGAGUAACACGUGGGCAACCUGCCUUUGAGGCCGGGAUAACACCGGGAAACCGGUGCUAAUACCGGAGACGUCGUCUUUCGCGCCCUCGAUGUGGGUGAAAGACGGUCCUUCAGGCCGUCGACCAAAGAGGGGCCGGCGGCGCAUUAGCUGGUUGGGGGGGUAAGGGCCUACCAAGGCGACGAUGCGUUGCCGACCUGAGAGGAUGAUCGGCCACCCUGGGACUGAGACACGGCCCAGACUCCUGCGGGAGGCAGCAGUAGGGAAUCAUCCGCAAUGGGCGAAAGCCUGACGGUGCAACGCCGCGUGAGUGAGGAAGGUUUUCGGAUCGUAAAGCUCUGUUGUGAGGGAAGAACAGCUUCCGGAGGAAAUGCCGGAGGUUUGCCGGUACCUCACCAGAAAGCCCCGGCUAACUACGUGCCAGCCGCCGCGGUAA